rnacentral:rRNA from 1 species
UACGUAGGGUGCAAGCGUUGUCCGGAAUUAUUGGGCGUAAAGGGCGCGUAGGCGGCAUGACAAGUCACUUGUGAAAUCUCCGGGCUUAACUCGGAACGGUCAAGUGAUACUGUCGCGCUAGAGUGCGGAAGGGGCAAUCAGAAUUCUUGGUGUAGCGGUGAAAUGCGUAGAUAUCAAGAGGAAUACCUGAGGUGAAGACGGGUUGCUAGGCCGACACUGACGCUGAAGCGCGAAAGCCAGGGGAGCAAACGGG